rnacentral:tRNA from 1 species
GGGUAAUUAGUCUUUAACGUAAAACGCUUGAUUUCGGCUCAAGAAAUUGAGGAUCAUACCCUCAAUUACCCU